rnacentral:RNase_P_RNA from 1 species
GGAGUCGGUGAGAUGGUCGCUGCGGCCUUGUGCCGUGGAGGAAAGUCCGAACUCCAUAGGGCAGCGUGCCGGGUAACGCCCGGCGGGGGCGACCCCAGGGAAAGUGCCACAGAAAACGAACCGCCAACCUUCGCGCAAGCGGAGCGGUAAGGGUGAAAAGGUGCGGUAAGAGCGCACCGCGCCACCGGGCAACCGGAGGCGGCAGGGUAAACCCCACGCGGAGCAAGACCAAAUAGGGGGGCGUGAUGAGGGCGGCCCGCCCCAGGCCCCCGGGUAGGUCGCAUGAGGGAAGGGGAGACUCUUCUCCCAGAUGAAUGGCCAUCACCGGGCCUCGGCCCGGGACAGAAUUCGGCUUACGGCCGACUCCGACA